GGGUUGUGAGGUUAAGCGACUAAGCGUACACGGUGGAUGCCCUGGCAGUCAGAGGCGAUGAAGGACGUGCUAAUCUGCGAUAAGCGUCGGUAAGGUGAUAUGAACCGUUAUAACCGGCGAUUUCCGAAUGGGGAAACCCAGUGUGAUUCGUCACACUAUCAUUAACUGAAUCCAUAGGUUAAUGAGGCGAACCGGGGGAACUGAAACAUCUAAGUACCCCGAGGAAAAGAAAUCAACCGAGAUUCCCCCAGUAGCGGCGAGCGAACGGGGAGCAGCCCAGAGCCUGAAUCAGUGUGUGUGUUAGUGGAAGCGUCUGGAAAGGCGCGCGAUACAGGGUGACAGCCCCGUACACAAAAAUGCACAUAUUGUGAGCUCGAUGAGUAGGGCGGGACACGUGGUAUCCUGUCUGAAUAUGGGGGGCCCAUCCUCCAAGGCUAAAUACUCCUGACUGACCGAUAGUGAACCAGUACCGUGAGGGAAAGGCGAAAAGAACCCCGGCGAGGGGAGUGAAAAAGAACCUGAAACCGUGUACGUACAAGCAGUGGGAGCACGCUUAGGCGUGUGACUGCGUACCUUUUGUAUAAUGGGUCAGCGACUUAUAUUCUGUAGCAAGGUUAACCGAAUAGGGGAGCCGAAGGGAAACCGAGUCUUAACUGGGCGUUAAGUUGCAGGGUAUAGACCCGAAACCCGGUGAUCUAGCCAUGGGCAGGUUGAAGGUUGGGUAACACUAACUGGAGGACCGAACCGACUAAUGUUGAAAAAUUAGCGGAUGACUUGUGGCUGGGGGUGAAAGGCCAAUCAAACCGGGAGAUAGCUGGUUCUCCCCGAAAGCUAUUUAGGUAGCGCCUCGUGAAUUCAUCUCCGGGGGUAGAGCACUGUUUCGGCAAGGGGGUCAUCCCGACUUACCAACCCGAUGCAAACUGCGAAUACCGGAGAAUGUUAUCACGGGAGACACACGGCGGGUGCUAACGUCCGUCGUGAAGAGGGAAACAACCCAGACCGCCAGCUAAGGUCCCAAAGUCAUGGUUAAGUGGGAAACGAUGUGGGAAGGCCCAGACAGCCAGGAUGUUGGCUUAGAAGCAGCCAUCAUUUAAAGAAAGCGUAAUAGCUCACUGGUCGAGUCGGCCUGCGCGGAAGAUGUAACGGGGCUAAACCAUGCACCGAAGCUGCGGCAGCGACGCUUAUGCGUUGUUGGGUAGGGGAGCGUUCUGUAAGCCUGCGAAGGUGUGCUGUGAGGCAUGCUGGAGGUAUCAGAAGUGCGAAUGCUGACAUAAGUAACGAUAAAGCGGGUGAAAAGCCCGCUCGCCGGAAGACCAAGGGUUCCUGUCCAACGUUAAUCGGGGCAGGGUGAGUCGACCCCUAAGGCGAGGCCGAAAGGCGUAGUCGAUGGGAAACAGGUUAAUAUUCCUGUACUUGGUGUUACUGCGAAGGGGGGACGGAGAAGGCUAUGUUGGCCGGGCGACGGUUGUCCCGGUUUAAGCGUGUAGGCUGGUUUUCCAGGCAAAUCCGGAAAAUCAAGGCUGAGGCGUGAUGACGAGGCACUACGGUGCUGAAGCAACAAAUGCCCUGCUUCCAGGAAAAGCCUCUAAGCAUCAGGUAACAUCAAAUCGUACCCCAAACCGACACAGGUGGUCAGGUAGAGAAUACCAAGGCGCUUGAGAGAACUCGGGUGAAGGAACUAGGCAAAAUGGUGCCGUAACUUCGGGAGAAGGCACGCUGAUAUGUAGGUGAAGUCCCUUGCGGAUGGAGCUGAAAUCAGUCGAAGAUACCAGCUGGCUGCAACUGUUUAUUAAAAACACAGCACUGUGCAAACACGAAAGUGGACGUAUACGGUGUGACGCCUGCCCGGUGCCGGAAGGUUAAUUGAUGGGGUCAGCGCAAGCGAAGCUCUUGAUCGAAGCCCCGGUAAACGGCGGCCGUAACUAUAACGGUCCUAAGGUAGCGAAAUUCCUUGUCGGGUAAGUUCCGACCUGCACGAAUGGCGUAAUGAUGGCCAGGCUGUCUCCACCCGAGACUCAGUGAAAUUGAACUCGCUGUGAAGAUGCAGUGUACCCGCGGCAAGACGGAAAGACCCCGUGAACCUUUACUAUAGCUUGACACUGAACAUUGAGCCUUGAUGUGUAGGAUAGGUGGGAGGCUUUGAAGUGUGGACGCCAGUCUGCAUGGAGCCGGCCUUGAAAUACCACCCUUUAAUGUUUGAUGUUCUAACGUGGACCCGUGAUCCGGGUUGCGGACAGUGUCUGGUGGGUAGUUUGACUGGGGCGGUCUCCUCCUAAAGAGUAACGGAGGAGCACGAAGGUUGGCUAAUCCUGGUCGGACAUCAGGAGGUUAGUGCAAUGGCAUAAGCCAGCUUGACUGCGAGCGUGACGGCGCGAGCAGGUGCGAAAGCAGGUCAUAGUGAUCCGGUGGUUCUGAAUGGAAGGGCCAUCGCUCAACGGAUAAAAGGUACUCCGGGGAUAACAGGCUGAUACCGCCCAAGAGUUCAUAUCGACGGCGGUGUUUGGCACCUCGAUGUCGGCUCAUCACAUCCUGGGGCUGAAGUAGGUCCCAAGGGUAUGGCUGUUCGCCAUUUAAAGUGGUACGCGAGCUGGGUUUAGAACGUCGUGAGACAGUUCGGUCCCUAUCUGCCGUGGGCGCUGGAGAACUGAGGGGGGCUGCUCCUAGUACGAGAGGACCGGAGUGGACGCAUCACUGGUGUUCGGGUUGUCAUGCCAAUGGCACUGCCCGGUAGCUAAAUGCGGAAGAGAUAAGUGCUGAAAGCAUCUAAGCACGAAACUUGCCCCGAGAUGAGUUCUCCCUGACCCUUUAAGGGUCCUGAAGGAACGUUGAAGACGACGACGUUGAUAGGCCGGGUGUGUAAGCGCAGCGAUGCGUUGAGCUAACCGGUACUAAUGAACCGUGAGG
rnacentral:rRNA from 1 species